rnacentral:rRNA from 1 species
UACGGAGGGUGCGAGCGUUGUCCGGAAUCAUUGGGCGUAAAGGGCGCGUAGGUGGCCUGCUAAGCGUGCGGUGAAAGUCGGGGGCUCAACCCCCGAUCGGCCGUGCGAACUGGGAGGCUUGAGCACUGUAGAGGCAGGCGGAAUUCCGGGUGUAGCGGUGGAAUGCGUAGAGAUCCGGAAGAACACCGGUGGCGAAGGCGGUCUGCUGGGCAGUUGCUGGCACUGAGGCGCGACAGCGUGGGGAGCAAACA